GACGAACGCUGGCGGCGUGCUUAACACAUGCAAGUCGAACGGAAAGGCCCCUUCGGGGGUACUCGAGUGGCGAACGGGUGAGUAACACGUGAGUAACCUGCCCUUGACUUCGGGAUAACUUCAGGAAACUGGGGCUAAUACCGGAUAGGAAUCCUUGCUGCAUGGUGGGGGUUGGAAAGCUUCGGCGGUUUUGGAUGGACUCGCGGCUUAUCAGCUUGUUGGUGGGGUAGUGGCUUACCAAGGCUUUGACGGGUAGCCGGCCUGAGAGGGCGACCGGCCACAUUGGGACUGAGAUACGGCCCAGACUCCUACGGGAGGCAGCAGUGGGGAAGAUUGCACAAUGGGCGGAAGCCUGAUGCAGCAACGCCGCGGGCGGGAUGACGGCCUUCGGGUUGUAAACCGCUUUCAGCAGGGGCGAAGCUUGUGGUGACGGUACCUGCAGAAGAAGCACCGGCUAACUACGUG
rnacentral:rRNA from 1 species